AACACAUCUGGUGGGCAUUUUCUUGUUAAAUCUUUGAACCUCUCCCAAGCCUCAUAGAGUGUUUCACCAACUAGCUGUCUAAAGGUCUGCACCUCAGCUCUUAUCCU